UGACGGGGCGCAGCAGGCGCGAAACCUCUACAAUACACGAAAGUGUGAUAGGGGGAUCCUAAGUGCUCAUGCUUUGCAUGGGCUUUUGUCAAGAGUAAAUAUCUUGGCGAAUAAGUGGUGGGUAAGACUGGUGCCAGCCGCCGCGGUAACACCAGCGCCACAAGUGGUGACCAGCAUUAUUGGGCCUAAAGCGUCCGUAGCAGGGAGAAUAAAUCUUCUGUGAAACUGUUCAGCUUAACUGAACAACGUGCAGGGGACACUAUUUUUCUAGAGACCGGGAGGGGUCAGAGGUAUUUUUGGGGGAGCGGUAAAAUGCUAUAAUCCCAAGAGGACCACCGAUGGCAAAGGCAUCUGACCAGAACGGAUCUGACUGUGAGGGACGAAGGCCAGGGGAGCGAACCGGAUUAGAUACCCAAGUAGUCCUGGCAGUAAACGCUGCGAGCAAGGUGUUGCACAAUUUACGAGAUUGUGCAGUGUCGAAACGAAGGUGUUAAGCUCGCCGCCUGGGAAGUACGGUCGCAAGACUGAAACUUAAAGGAAUUGGCGGGGGAGCACUACAAGGGGUGCGGCGUGCGGUUUAAUCUACUCAACGCAGAGAAUCUCCCCAGGAGCGACGGCAGAAUGAAGGUCAGUCUGAAGGGCUUACCUAACAAGCCGAGAGGUGGUGCAUGGCCGCCGUCAGCUCGUGCCGUAAGGUGUCCAGUUAAGUCUGGCAACGAGCGAGACCUGUGCUCACAAUUGCUAACAACCUUUGGGAUUGAGUACAUUGUGAGGACUGCCUUGGAAACAAGGAGGAAGGUGCAGGCAACGGUAGGUCUGUAUGCCCCGAAUCCUCUGGGCUACACGCGCGCAACAAUGGUAAGGACAAUGGGAUGCAACUCCGAAAGGAGAAGCUAAACCUCUAAACCUUAUCCAAGUCUAGAUCGAGGAUUGUAACUCAUCCUCGUGACAACGGAAUCCCUAGUAAUCGGAUCUUAUCAUGGUCUGGUGAAUAUGUCCCUGCUCCUUGCACGAAUUCGCCGA
rnacentral:rRNA from 1 species